AAUGCAUCUUGAAGGAAAUUCUAUGGAGUAUAGAAGGGUAAUGGGUUCUAAUGCAAGAAUAUAUCUAAUUUGAGGUGACCUUGUUUUUACAGUUUGAUGAAGGCCGUAACAACUUUGAAGGGGAUCUCACAAAAGAAAACUUACUGAACUUCAUCAAGGCUAACCAGCUACCCCUGGUCAUAGAGUUCACUGAGCAGACUGCUCCUAAAAUCUUUGGAGGAGAGAUCAAGACUCAUAUUCUGCUGUUCUUACCAAAAAGUGUGUCUGAUUAUCAAGAGAAAUUG